UCAUGUCACGUGAGCCUAGCUAGCCAGGCCAGCCUAGAGGCGUGUCUAAUUAAGAUGGCUGAUAUCAUAGAUAUCCUUUACUCUAAUAUCUAUGCUGAUAUGGACAUUAGAUACUAUGUAACCUAAUAUCUAUGAUAAGGACUAGACAAGAAGUUUAUCCUGUUUUAAAGAGCUCCUUGUUUAAUUACUUAGAUGUUUAAAGAAUCUAAAACACUCAUUUUAAGGUUUUAACUUCUUUUAGUGAAUUGUGUCUGAGUAUACAAGACUUUGUCAUUUAAUUUUGUUCACUAAGUGUUUCAUUAUUGCUUAAAAUUUUAUCUUCCUCCUCUUUCUCUCCCUCCCGCUCUUUCCUCUACCUUUAUGUUAUGUUCAAAUGAAUUGUGUUUGACUAUGUACAUGGCUUCCUUAUUGAAUAUUUUGUUGAUAUCCUGUGCCUGAAUUUAUGUAGAAGACUUGUAAAUCAUGAUAUAGCUACUGCUCGUAAUAUAGCAAUGGUCAUUUUAAUGAUUUGUGCCUUUGCUGAUCUCAAUAAAAGACAAGACUUUGCUUCUUAGCUGUUAAAAUUCCAAUGACACAGUAAGGAAAUUA